rnacentral:lncRNA from 1 species
CUUGGUUAGAAAGGCACUCCCUACCGCCCCGCCUCCGGAAAACCGGUAUUAGAUCUGCUUCGCACUAUCCAUUAAAAUGCUCGCUUUUUUUUAUCUAUUCCUAAGUUUCCAUGAGCUUGACUAAUGUAAGUCUUCCUGACAAAUUAGGUUUCUGGGUCAGUAAGCUGUCUUAGUAUGUUUGGGCGGCAGACUGGGUGGCUUAUAAACAACAAACUUCUCACAGUUCAGGAGUCUGGGAAGUCCAAGAUCAAGGCUCCAGCAGGUUUGUUGUCUGAUUAGCCCUCAGCUAACCACUGCCAGUCCUCCUCUUUUUGCUGAGGAAGCCUGGCUCUGAGCUAACAUCCGGUGCCCAUCUUCCUCUAGUUUACAUGUGGGACGCCUACCACAGCAUGGCUGCCAAGCAGUGCCAUGUCCGCACCCGGGAUCUGAACCAGCGAACCCCAGGCCGCCGAGAAGCGGAAUGUGCGAACUUAACCGCUGCACCACUGGGCCGGCCCCUUAUUUAUUUAUUUUUAAGAAAUUGUGCAGACUAAUUCAAGGAUGGAAAAUGCAUAGCACUUGUGCUACCACUCUACCUGCACAUCCCUGUGGCACAUAUUGACAGUUGAUAGCAAACUCAUUCUCAUUCAGCCUGAACUCAGCCUCCGAUUCCUUCUUAACACAGAAUUCCAGGCAUUCACUAUCAAUCAGUUGUAGUUGUCACAAAGUGGACAUAUUUGAAAUAAAUGCUUUUAGGAAAAAUGUCACAGAAUAAUAUGGUUCUAGAGUUGGUGAAUAAGGAAGAAAUUUUUGUCUCUCUCUGCAAAAUAAAAAUAUCUUUUGGGAAUUGUUCUAAGGUAAUUAGUUGUGUGAAGUCGAUUAUGUUUAUAGUCUUAAAAAGUAUAUUUUCCUAUGCUUUUUUUACCUUAAAAUCCAAAUUAUCAAAGUAGAUUCAUUUCUUUUU